CUUUGAAGCCAAGCAAGCGAGCGAGCGAGAGUGUGUGUGAGUGAGGGGAAACAAAGAGAAAACCACAAGAAGAAUCCGUGGCCAUUCAUCAUUGCUGUAGUGGAGGGGAAUUGGUCGCAUACUAAGUUUCCCUGUCUGCAGCCGUCGAGUAGCUAGCAGAUGCUUUCUGGAUGAACUUCUUGACGUGACAAAAAGUCUAGUACAGAGUGCCUAGCUAGCUCCUGGACAGUCUGCAGUACGUUCAAAUUCUGCUUCCAGAGUCGUACAUCAGCAAGUUCCUGAUUGUCUUCAAGAUUCUCCUAAAGAAGCACUUUGUUCGACUCGGUUGUGAAUUUCGUCAUGAUGAAGGCGGGAACGCCGCCAGAAGCCCACCUGCUGCCGCGUCAUUGGCUGCUGAGUUCUGGAAGCGUGAACGAGGCGGAGCCAAAGAAGGAGGAGGUGUGGAAUUAGGUGUGCGGAGGAGAAGCAGCAGGAGUCAGGAUGCAAAGGAAAGGCCAAGAGACAAUGAAGCGCGCUGAUGAAGAGGAGGCAGAGAAAGAGGAGGAGGAGGAGGUGCUGACUCCAGACAGAAUGCCAGCUGGGAAGUACACGAGGACGCACGCGCGCGCUCGCGAGGCUAAGGAGUGCGCGUUGCGCACGCGCGAACCUGUGAUCGAUAUGAUACACGCUGACGUAAAUACGCCCUUCCACACAACUAUCUGUCCGCGUGAAAACACGCUGAUAGGUGGCGCUCCAAGUGAAUUGCCUGACAAUUGUUUUGGCCACUUAGAAACAAUGUUCGUUGUUUUCUUCUUAAACAUAUAAGCAAUUGUAACAUAAAGCAGACUUUAAAAGUCAUUAACAGUGUGCUUUGAUAUAGGGCAAUCAAAAAGUACCUAAAAAGGAUUCAAUUCGAAUGUAUUGCACAUGAAAAUCAAAUCAUUUCCUACUCAAAUGUUUUGGGUUUUCAAGAUUAAAUACAAAUAAUCAAUAAAUCCAGCUCAAAAGGAAAUGAGCUCUACAACUCACCUGUAUUCAUUCAUAUACUCAAGCAGGCCCAUGCAUGUGCCACAAGCACUCAUAAUACGAACAGAUUUCACUUCUCCCACAUUCUCUUUAAAACUAAUGCAAACAAAUUUCUACACACCCACAAAAAAUGGAAAUAUAAAUGAUUGAAAAUGUUGACCUCCUCUAUCCUAACAGGCCUUCAACAUGCCAGUUAAUCUAUGGUGACUUGAAUCAAUUUCCGUCGCCAGGGUGGAAGUACGUGGUUGUCUCCUCACAUCCCACUCGGGUAGUGUUAUUGUGAAUGUUUUAUUGCAUGGGUUCUGUCAAAUCCUUUGUUAUUGCUGCAGAUGUUGUCGAAGCGCUAACAUGCAAACAUUGAAAUGCUAACAGAGUAUAACAAGAUAGAAACAAAUGUGCAAAGGCUGAUGGAUAAGGCUUUCAUAUCUUUAGCUCUGUAUUGAGAAACUAUUUCUGAAGAAAACUGCAGAAAUGCUAUGCCGUGACUAUAUGCUAAUAAAUAGCAAGAUGGCAACCUGA